GAUGAACGCUAGCGGCAGGCCUAACACAUGCAAGUCGAGGGCAGCGAGGGUAGCAAUACCUGUCGGCGACCGGCGCACGGGUGAGUAACGCGUAUGCAACCUACCCUUCACUGGGGGAUAGCCCGCGAAAGGCGGAUUAAUACCCCAUCGUCCCACCGCCCGGCAUCGGGGGGUGGGUAAAGGAGCGAUCCGGUGAAGGAUGGGCAUGCGUGCCAUUAGCUAGUUGGCGGGGUAACAGCCCACCAAGGCGACGAUGGCUCGGGGGUCUGAGAGGAUGGUCCCCCACACUGGUACUGAGACACGGACCAGACUCCUACGGGAGGCAGCAGUGAGGAAUAUUGGUCAAUGGGCGAAAGCCUGAACCAGCCAUGCCGCGUGCAGGAAGACGGCCCUACGGGUUGUAAACUGCUUUUCCGGGGGAAGAAUAAGGCCCAUGCGUGGGCCGAUGCCGGUACCCCGGGAAUAAGGAUCGGCUAACUCCGUG
rnacentral:rRNA from 1 species